GCAGCAGUGGGGACAGGACGGCGCAGCAGGGAAGGGAUGCAAAGCAGGGUGGGCGCCUCUCCCUCCCAGCGCCUCCCUGCACUGCAUCCCUUCGCUGAGCGGGUAGCGCCGGGCCAUACUAAUCAGCUCAGGAUCAUUAUGUGGCCUCUCCUCACUUCUGCCAUGAGAACACCAGGACCCGGCCUACUGAUGCCAACACUGGUGCACCCAUACACUGGUGCACCACAACAGCCGGCAUACCCUGGUUCCAACAGGGUUAUCACUACAUCCUGUACCUGCUGCAUUACUGUUUACCCUGUUUCUACCUUGUUAAUAAAGCAGUUCUCUUGUUAAGUCAUCUGCCGUAUGGACUAGCUUCCAUUUGCACACCACUGACAUCUACCACUGUAGUGUCUGCUAAUACUUUGCAGAGUUGCAGAUAUGACACAAUGACCCUGCCAGUGCCAGUUGCAGUGCCUCUUAAGGAGGUCUAAAGGACAUAUGUAAGGUCUCUACCACCGGAGGCACUGUGCACUUGGCAUAUUGAACAGCAACGCUCAAAUUAUGUGAUGAAGAAGGAGCCUGAGGACGGUGGCCCAGACAACCUCAGCAUAAAGAGACCCUCCCCGCAAGUGGGGAACUAGCUCCUCCAGAAAGAGGAGUCACACCCACUGAAGUUGAAACCACACAACCCUGGAAGAAGUGCCUCACCCCAGCAAGAGGAAUCUAAAUGAUUAGAUGAGGAGCCCAAAUCCAUGCAAGCGGAGACCAUUUAUUGUACUGUUUAUAAGUGAAUGUUCACAUAAUAAUUAAAUUACAAAAAAAGGUAAUUUUAUUGUAUAUACAUUUAUUGUUCAAUUUAUUUCUACGUUUAUUUGCCAAUACUACAGUAUGCUGUUUAGACUGGCCAAUUAGUAACCAAAAAUACAAAAUAAAAAUGUAUUAGAGAAAUAAUAAGUGUCUUGUAAAAAUCGUUUAUUG